GAGGACAUUGUUUGGUGGGUAGUUUGACUGGGGUGGUCGCCUCCAAAAAGGUAACGGAGGCUUUCAAAGGUAAGCUCAGUACGCUUGGUAACCGUACGUGGAGUGCAAUGGCAUAAGCUUGCUUGACUGUGAGACCUACAAGUCGAACAGGGUCGAAAGACGGACAUAGUGAUCCGGUGGUUCUGUAUGGAAGGGCCAUCGCUCAAAGGAUAAAAGGUACGCUGGGGAUAACAGGCUGAUCUCCCCCAAGAGCUCAUAUCGACGGGGAGGUUUGGCACCUCGAUGUCGGCUCGUCACAUCCUGGGGCUGGAGAAGGUCCCAAGGGUUGGGCUGUUCGCCCAUUAAAGUGGCACGCGAGCUGGGUUCAGAACGUCGCGAGACAGUUCGGUCCCUAUCUGUUGUGGGCGUUGGAAGUUUGAGUGGAUCUGACCUUAGUACGAGAGGACCGGGUUGGACAGACCUCUGGUGAACCUGUUAUGCCGCCAGGUGUACGGCAGGGUAGCUACGUCUGGAAUAGAUAAGCGCUGAAAGCAUCUAAGUGCGAAACUAGCCACGAGAUGAGACUUCCUUAUAGGGUCGUAGGAGAUGACUACGUUGAUAGGCCAUAGGUGUAAAGGUUGAGAGACCAAAGCCAAGUGGUACUAAUAGCCCGAAGCUUUCUCAAG
rnacentral:rRNA from 1 species